AGAGUUUGAUCCUGGCUCAGAUUGAACGCUGGUGGCAUGCUUAACACAUGCAAGUCGAACGGUAACAGGUCUUAGGAUGCUGACGAGUGGCGGACGGGUGAGUAACGCGUAGGAAUCUGCCCAUUUGAGGGGGAUACCAGUUGGAAACGACUGUUAAUACCGCAUAAUAUCUGUGGAUUAAAGGUGGCUUUCGGGCUGUCGCAGAUGGAUGAGCCUGCGUUGGAUUAGCUAGUUGGUGGGGUAAGGGCCCACCAAGGCUACGAUCCAUAGCUGAUUUGAGAGGAUGAUCAGCCACAUUGGGACUGAGACACGGCCCAAACUCCUACGGGAGGCAGCAGUGGGGAAUAUUGGACAAUGGGGGCAACCCUGAUCCAGCAAUGCCAUGUGUGUGAAGAAGGCCCUAGGGUUGUAAAGCACUUUAGUUGGGGAGGAAAGCCUCAAGGUUAAUAGCCUUGGGGAGGACGUUACCCAAAGAAUAAGCACCGGCUAACUCCGUGCCAGCAGCCGCGGUAAUACGGGGGGUGCAAGCGUUAAUCGGAAUUACUGGGCGUAAAGGGUCUGUAGGUGGUUUGUUAAGUCAGAUGUGAAAGCCCAGGGCUCAACCUUGGAACUGCAUUUGAUACUGGCAAACUAGAGUACGGUAGAGGAAUGGGGAAUUUCUGGUGUAGCGGUGAAAUGCGUAGAGAUCAGAAGGAACACCAAUGGCGAAGGCAACAUUCUGGACCGAUACUGACACUGAGGGACGAAAGCGUGGGGAUCAAACAGGAUUAGAUACCCUAGUAGUCC
rnacentral:rRNA from 1 species